AAAAUAAAAAUUAAUAAUUUUAUAAAUAAUAAAAGUAUUUUUAAUAUUAAUAUUGGGGGGUUUUAGUAUUAAAAAAAAAAAAAUUAUAAAAUUUAUAGUUAAAUAGUAUUGUAAAAGAAAUUUUAAAUAAAAUUGAAAAUUAAUUUAUUUAAAAGUAAAUUUAAAUUAUUGUAUCUUGUGUAUCAGAGUUUAUUAAAUAAAAAUUUGAUUAAAAUUAUUUCUCGAAUUUAAAAGAGAUAAUUAAUUAUAAAAGUUAUUGUUGCAUAAAUAUUUUUAAUAAUUAAUUUGAAAUGAAAUGUUAAUCGUUUUUAAAAAUAUCUAGUUUUUUUAGAAAAAAAUUUAAUUUUACUUUUUUUUUAUAAAAAAUUAAUUAAUUAAUUUUUUAUAAAAAAAAAAGUUAUAUUUUAAGGGAUAAGCUUUAAAUUAAAUUUUUAUAAUUAAUUUUUAAAGAAUUAAAAUAUUUAAAAUUUAUAUUGUUUAUAAUUUAUAAUUUAUUAUAAAUAAUUUUAAUUUAAUUAAAAUUUUAAAUUAAUUUAAUUUUUUAUAAAAAAAUAAUUUUUAAUUAAAUAUAUUUAGUUAAAAUGAUAAAAUUAGUAUUUAAUUAAAAAAAAAUAUAUAAUUUUUAAUAAAAAAUAUUAUUUAGGAAUUCGGCAAAUAUUUAUAUUCACUUGUUUAUCAAAAACAUGUCUUUUUGAAAAUAAUUUAAAGUCUAAUCUGCCCACUGAUGAAAUAUUAAAGGGCUGCAGUAUAUUGACUGUACAAAGGUAGCAUAAUCAAUAGUCUCUUAAUUGGUGACUUGUAUGAAAGAUUGGAUGAGAUAUAAACUGUCUUAAUAAUAAUUAAAGAAAUUAAUUUUUUAUUUAAAAAGUUAAAAUAAAUUUAAAAGACGAGAAGACCCUAUAGAGUUUUAUAAAAUUUUUUAUUAAAAUUAUAUUUAAAAAUAAUAAUUAAAAUAAAAAUUUUUAUUUUGUUGGGGUGAUAAAAAAAUAUAAAUAACUUUUUUUUAAUAAAAACAUAAAUAAAUGAAUAAUUGAUCCAAAAUUAUUUUGAUUAAAAGAAAAAAUUACCUUAGGGAUAACAGCGUAAUUUUUUUUUUUAGUUCAAAUAAGAAAAAAAGUUUGCGACCUCGAUGUUGGAUUAAGAUAAAAUUUAUAUGCAAAAGUUUAAAAUUUUGAUCUGUUCGAUCAUUAAAAUCUUACAUGAUCUGAGUUCAAACCGGUGUGAGCCAGGUUGGUUUCUAUCUUUAAAAAAAUAAAAUAUUUUAGUACGAAAGGAAUAAGUAUUUAAAUUAAAUUUAAAUAAAAGAAUAUCAUUAAAAUAAUUAGUAAAAUAUUAAAUUAUAAUAUAUAAAUAUAUACAUAUUAAAAUACUAUUUUGGCAGAAA
rnacentral:rRNA from 1 species